rnacentral:lncRNA from 1 species
AGGCGCGUGCCACGCGCUGCUGCUCCAGCCAGCCCUGCGUCCUCAACGUCCCAGUUUCUUCCUUCGAGCCCCGGGAGUGCCCUACUGAGAACCAGGCAGAGAGGGAACCCAGAAAGUCCAGACGGGUUGCUGAUUAGCACACGAUUAGCCAACAGAAUCAGACAUGAAGUCAUCCAGUUCCCACCAGUGGUCGGAGAUGCAGACAACACUUACAUCAGGGAUAAAAGGCAGAAGCCAUCUCACUCCCUCACCACUUACUAACAUAACCACUUACUAACCUAACCACUUACUAACCUAACCACUUACUAACCUAACCACUUACUAACCUAACCACUUACUAACCUAACCCAGUUUGGGUUUUGGUACACCUGUUGUUGUUGCUGUUGUUGUUGCUGUUGUUGUUGCUGUUGUUGCUGCUGCUGCUGCUGUUGUUGUUUGUAACGAGAAUCGCCUUUGAAGCUACCUUCCUUCUGUUUGUGUCCCUGAGUGCCACAGUGAAUUCUCUAUUUCUAACCACCAGUGUACGUAGUCUAAGGCCUUACCACCUUGAAUAACAUCAGUGGACAUGCCAUGCCAAUUCAGAUUGGGGGAGUUCCACAAGGCCCCAUUUGUAGAUGAAGUGCUACAGGCAAUCAAAGGUUGCUGAAAGAGGGGGAAUUGGGCUUCUUCAGGGACAAGACCCUUGAUAAAUAAAUUAUCGCAUCCCAAAUAUACAGCCAUAAACUAAAUGGGCUCUGUAGGUUUGUGUGUGUGUGUGUGUGUGUGUGUGUGUGUGUGUGUGUGUGUGUGUGUGUGUAAAACAUAUCAUUAGAUAGAUAGAUAGAUAGAUAGAUAGAUAGAUAGAUAGAUAGAUAGAUAGAUAGAGAUAGAUAGAUAAUGAUAUGUGUUACAAUAACAAUUAUACAAGAAGAAGAGGUCAUGAACUUGACAGGAAAUGGAGAGAGGUAGAAAAUUUGUUUUGGUGAUGUGGUGGAUUGGUUUCAAGACAGGGUUUCUCUGUAUAGACCUGUCUAUCAUGGAAUUCAUUCUGUAGACUAAGUUGGCCUCUGACUCAGAGAUCCAUCUGCCGAUUUCUGCUUCCCCAAAGCUGGAAUUAAAGGAAUGCCCUACCAUACCCUUCAGAAAAGAUUUAAAUGCAAUUCAGAUCCUGUACACGUGUCCCAGGCUACCAGACUCCCUCCCUUCCCCUGCCAACCAGGAACCAGCCUGACUACAAUUACUUACUAUGGAAUGCCCAUCAGUCACAUGGUAUAGAGCCAGCUCCCUCCUCUGAAAUGUAUAAGAAGGGACAUUAUUGUGCCACAUGGGCCUACACUCCCUUCAGGGUACCCACAGUUGUCUUUCAGUCAAUCAAAAUUGUCAACUCGAUUAAUAAAUCUUUGACCCGAA